rnacentral:rRNA from 1 species
GACGAACGCUGGCGGCGUGCCUAAUACAUGCAAGUCGAACGAGAGCGCCCGGUGCUUGCACUGGUCAAUCUAGUGGCGAACGGGUGAGUAACACGUGGGUAACCUGCCCAUCAGAGGGGGAUAACAUCCGGAAACGGAUGCUAAAACCGCAUAGGUCUUCGAACCGCAUGGUUUGAAGAGGAAAAGAGGCGCAAGCUUCUGCUGAUGGAUGGACCCGCGGUGCAUUAGCUAGUUGGUGAGGUAACGGCUCACCAAGGCCGUGAUGCAUAGCCGACCUGGGAGGGUGAUCGGCCACAUUGGGACUGAGACACGGCCCAAACUCCUACGGGAGGCAGCAGUAGGGAAUCUUCCGCAAUGGACGCAAGUCUGACGGAGCAACGCCGCGUGAGUGAAGAAGGUUUUCGGAUCGUAAAACUCUGUUGUUAGAGAAGAACAAGUGCUAGAGUAACUGUUAGCGCCUUGACGGUAUCUAACCAGAAAGCCACGGCUAACUACGUG